UACAGAGGGUGCAAGCGUUAAUCGGAAUGACUGGGCGUAAAGCGUGCGCAGGCGGUGAGGUAAGACAGAUGUGAAAUCCCCGGGCUCAACCUGGGAACUGCAUUUGUGACUGCAUCGCUGGAGUGCGGCAGAGGGGGAUGGAAUUCCGCGUGUAGCAGUGAAAUGCGUAGAUAUGCGGAGGAACACCGAUGGCGAAGGCAAUCCCCUGGGCCUGCACUGACGCUCAUGCACGAAAGCGUGGGGAGCAAACAGG
rnacentral:rRNA from 1 species